AUCCAUUUGACGAGUCCCAAAUAGGACGAAAUGCGUAUCCUGGAU
rnacentral:hammerhead_ribozyme from 1 species